UUUUUUUUUUCUUUAUUUUUUUAAAUCAUAAACACUUGCAUGGUAAGCUUACAAUAAAUUAGAGGAGAGAACAGAAGCUUCAACGGCAACGUGAGUGCUUGCAUGCUUUCUAAACUCCAUUUGAAGCAUGCCACCCAAACCAACUGCUAUACCUCAAAGCCAAACAAAAUAGCCAACAGCACAUUCAUGGGAGGAGAAGGUGGGCAUAUCUUGCAAAGGUAAAAGGCAUAUCAAUCCCUUAUAGUCUUGGAUCAGCCAAUGGCAUGAGGAACUGGCGGAUUCCUCUGCAAACCAAUGCAUCAUAGGUCUUCAAUUUGCUCUCACCAAUUCCUCUAAACCUACAAAACAAUCGAAAAUCAAAAGCCUUUUGUCACCCAAUCUAGAUGAGAGAGAGCUACACAAGCCCAGCUGAAGAAAACAAAACAAAACCAAGCAAGGAAAGCAAAUGGUAGGAGAA
rnacentral:misc_RNA from 1 species